AAAAAGUCCACUAUGCAAUUAAAAUGUUUUUAAUUGGUCCUAGAGUAAGUUUUUGACAAUAAAGCCUAGUACUCUCAUCGACGAAAACCGCGAGCUAACCAUAGGAGAGACCAAGAGGCAAAUAGGCGGCUAACGCUUUUCGUAGGGUCUGUUUUUCACCGCGGUACUUAGAUGAAUGAUUGAAUUUCGAUUAACGCCGUUAGCCACCGCGCAAAGAAAUAUGAAAUUUGAUCUUUGGCUGUGUUGUUUGUCCUGAAGCGGUGUGAAACAAAAAUUGAAAAAUGGAAGGAAAUCCCAAAAACCACGCCAAAGAUGCCUUCAGGAGUUUAGUGUAGAAGAAAAAUAAGUAUGCCUAAUCCCAGCUGUGGAAGGGGCAAUACCAAAACAGGACAAAACCGCAGAAGAGUGAAUGUGCUGGAGGUAAUCCAAUAGAGAAGCCCAUUGGAAAUGAGCAUGCCGAGUGGGAUUUCGCUUCCUAUUUGGACAUUCUGCAAAGAAAAACCACCAAUAACACUAUCUCUGAGGAUCUCUCCAUUGGGGAAUAGCUGAACUCCACCACCACCAGCUACUUGGCAGCUAAAACCUAUUCACGCAGAGGUUCACGCUUCAGCGACCGAAUUGUGCUUCAGCGACUUUUUUUCCAUAAGAAAUACAACUAGCUUCAGUGCAAAA